CGGCUCUGCAGAAUUUGGACUCGUGCGCUCCCGCAGUUGCGUUCAUAAUCAUUCCUACACCUGACCUUAGACAGGAACGAUUUACCAGAGAGACCCAAGUAGAACAGAGGUGUGGAUCCAAUUUAUCAGAAGGUCACUGAACUAUGGGUCCAUUCCUGUGUUCCUCAGCAGGAUCAUUAAGAAGUAUCUGCUACAGGGACAAUCUAAUAAGGAAUUAAUAACAUGUGCUGAAUGAAUGAACAGGAUUCUUCUUAGUGUCCCUACACCUGAAGAAAUCAAAUCAAGAAAGAUCUAGACAUAUUUCCUUUCCUCUGUUUUCCAAAUGUGUCACGAAGACCACAUACAUUAGAGUCAUCUAGGAUCUUUGUUAGUCAAGUAUAUUCCUGGGCCUCACCUCGGCCCUAAUGAAUCAGAAUCCAUGAGUGGAGACAGGUUAAAAAAAAUAAAAUCCAGCAAAUAGGUAAAAUAAUGGUAACACCUUGAUCAAGAAUACUCUCUGUCCAAUUCAACCUCUCCACAUCUGUUUUCAUUAACAAAAAUAUUAGAGCAAUGACUACCCUGGACACUGACAGCUCGGCUAUGACAAGCUGAAAAUGAUAGAGGACAUAUAUCAACUUCAACAAAGGAAAUCCUACAGAGAUGCUUAGUGGAAGAGAUGACAUUUUUGGGUCUUUGACCUCAGACUUGGAGUAGCUGACCUUGCCUGAACCACGUCCUCUUUUUUGGGAGAAAUCCAAAGACAGACGGGUGGCUGCCUUUCACCAGAGAAUCUGAAGGAGGACAAAUAUUUCCUCUCCUGGCUUCCUGCAGCUGUAACACAAGUAAAUGACCUAAGACUACUUAAUGGAAUGUUCCACCCAGGACUUUGAACUUGGACUGUCUGUAAGAAUCAUAGAGAGAAUUAAUUUCAGGUGCUGCAAAACAGCAGCUCCAGUGUUCUUUGAUAAUACUGCCAGCAUCUGAUACUCAGCCAUCUUAAUGAAGAAAUGAAAACUGAAACACUGUAAUACUACUUUUCCCUAACACAUUAAAAAGAUCAAAAAGUUUUCCAAUA